GGGGAGUUACGCUAACCUGGCAGACUAUCAGCCUUGGGCGCUGAUGAUCCGAGUUCAAAUCUCGGACUCCCCA
rnacentral:tRNA from 1 species